rnacentral:rRNA from 1 species
UGGGGAAUUUUGCACAAUGGGCGGAGGCCUGAUGCAGCGACGCCGCGUGGAGGAUGAAGGCCUUCGGGUUGUAAACUCCUUUUGUAGGGGACGAUAAUGACGGUACCCUGCGAAUAAGCCACGGCUAACUCUGUGCCAGCAGCCGCGGUAAUACAGAGGGUGCGAGCGUUAAUCGGAAUUACUGGGCGUAAAGCGCGCGUAGGCGGCUUGGUAUGUCGGGUGUGAAAUCCCCGGGCUCAACCUGGGAACUGCAUCCGAAACUGCCUUGCUAGAGUAUGGGAGAGGGAAGUGGAAUUUCCGGUGUAGCAGUGAAAUGCGUAGAUAUCGGAAGGAACACCAGUGGCGAAGGCGACUUCCUGGACCAAUACUGACGCUCAAGUGCGAAAGCGUGGGGAGCAAACAGGAUUAGAUACCCUGGUAGUCCACGCCCUAAACGAUGACAACUGGAUGUCGGGAGGGUUUGCCUUCCGGUGUCGUAGCUAACGCGUUAAGUUGUCCGCCUGGGAAGUACGGCCGCAAGGUUG